UACGAAGGUGGCAAGCGUUGUUCGGAUUUACUGGGCGUACAGGGAGCGUAGGCGGUUGGAUAAGCCCUCCGUGAAAUCUCCAGGCUUAACCUGGAAAGUGCAGAGGGGACUGUUCAGCUAGAGGAUGGAAGAGGAGCGCGGAAUUCCCGGUGUAGCGGUGAAAUGCGUAGAGAUCGGGAGGAAGGCCGGUGGCGAAGGCGGCGCUCUGGAACAUUUCUGACGCUGAGGCUCGAAAGCGUGGGGGAGCAAACAGG
rnacentral:rRNA from 1 species